rnacentral:rRNA from 1 species
UGGGGAAUUUUGGACAAUGGGGGAAACCCUGAUCCAGCCAUCCCGCGUGUGCGAUGAAGGCCUUCGGGUUGUAAAGCACUUUUGGCAGGAAAGAAACGUCGCGGGUUAAUACCCCGCGAAACUGACGGUACCUGCAGAAUAAGCACCGGCUAACUACGUGCCAGCAGCCGCGGUAAUACGUAGGGUGCAAGCGUUAAUCGGAAUUACUGGGCGUAAAGCGUGCGCAGGCGGUUCGGAAAGAAAGAUGUGAAAUCCCAGAGCUUAACUUUGGAACUGCAUUUUUAACUACCGGGCUAGAGUGUGUCAGAGGGAGGUGGAAUUCCGCGUGUAGCAGUGAAAUGCGUAGAUAUGCGGAGGAACACCGAUGGCGAAGGCAGCCUCCUGGGAUAACACUGACGCUCAUGCACGAAAGCGUGGGGAGCAAACAGGAUUAGAUACCCUGGUAGUCCACGCCCUAAACGAUGUCAACUAGCUGUUGGGGGCCUUCGGGCCUUGGUAGCGCAGCUAACGCGUGAAGUUGACCGCCUGGGGAGUACGGUCGCAAGAUUAAAACUCAAAU